GUAUUGAGCUCCACAACAUAUAGAGUCCAACAAAAUUAAUUUGACUAUAUAUUGGGUAUCUUAGAAUAUAUAACUAAGAUACAAUUGAAAAAUACAUUUUCUUUACGCUCUAUUCAUGUACACUGAGGGUAUGCCCUUGGUUAAAGCCAUGUAAUUAAGCAAUAAAUUAUAAAUUUCCUUUUGUCCAAUUCCAGUUUAUCUCCAGCAUUUCAGAGGUCUCUUAAUCGAAGGUGCCCUAAUAUUCUGUAGGGGUAAUUAACAAUAGACGCUUGCGUUUAUUGGAAGCCAUGAAUCCACAAUACCUGAUUCCCAUACAUAUUCAAAUAUUAAUCUGAAUCAUGAAUACUACCCCACGGUGGAAAAUCAAAAUAAGAUUAACCGUGCGAGGUGCGUCAUUCGUGGUGGCAGACAAAGUACAAGAUGCAUAAUACAGGAUACAACCACUACAUAUGAAUAUACACGCAUUCAUACACCAUUCACAUUCAGAUUCACAUUCAGAGUUUAUUCAUAAAUCCACAACAAUUAGUUUAAAAUGUUUCCUACUCGGAAACUCGUUUUGAAAUACUAAGUCAUGAAAACCAAGAAAUUUUUUUUUAAAAACUGUUUUCCACACGGAAACCUUUUCCUUUUAAAACACACUACCACGAGGGGUAGAAAACCAUUUUCAUUACACAAGAUUCCACAAAUUCUUUAUUACAUUCACGAAAAUCCAAAUAUUCAAUUCACGUAAAAGUACUGA
rnacentral:lncRNA from 1 species